rnacentral:rRNA from 1 species
CCUACGGGUGGCUGCAGUGGGGAAUAUUGGACAAUGGGGGCAACCCUGAUCCAGCCAUGCCGCGUGUGUGAAGAAGGCCCUCGGGUUGUAAAGCACUUUCAGUGAGGAAGAACGCCUGGUGGUGAAUACCCAUCAGGAAAGACAUCACUCACAGAAGAAGCACCGGCUAACUCCGUGCCAGCAGCCGCGGUAAUACGGAGGGUGCGAGCGUUAAUCGGAAUUACUGGGCGUAAAGCGCGCGUAGGUGGCUUGAUAAGCCGGUUGUGAAAGCCCCGGGCUCAACCUGGGAACGGCAUCCGGAACUGUCAAGCUAGAGUGCAGGAGAGGAAGGUAGAAUUCCCGGUGUAGCGGUGAAAUGCGUAGAGAUCGGGAGGAAUACCAGUGGCGAAGGCGGCCUUCUGGACUGACACUGACACUGAGGUGCGAAAGCGUGGGUAGCAAACAGGAUUAGAUACCCUGGUAGUC